rnacentral:rRNA from 1 species
UACGGAGGAUGCAAGCGUUAUCCGGAAUGAUUGGGCGUAAAGCGUCCGCAGGUGGCUGUGUAAGUCUGCUGUCAAAGAGCGAAGCUCAACUUCGUAAAGGCAGUGGAAACUACACGGCUAGAGUGCGUUCGGGGCAGAGGGAAUUCCUGGUGUAGCGGUGAAAUGCGUAGAGAUCAGGAAGAGCACCGGUGGCGAAGGCGCUCUGCUAGGCCGCAACUGACACUGAGGGACGAAAGCUAGGGGAGCGAAUGGG